rnacentral:misc_RNA from 1 species
UUUCCGUAGGUGAACCUGCGGAAGGAUCAUUACUGAGUGAGGGCCCUCUGGGUCCAACCUCCCACCCGUGUUUAUUGUACCUUGUUGCUUCGGUGCGCCCGCCUCACGGCCGCCGGGUGGCUUCUGCCCCCGGGUCCGCGCGCACCGGAGACACUAUUGAACUCUGUCUGAAGAUUGCGGUCUGAGCAUAAACUAAAUAAGUUAAAACUUUCAACAACGGAUCUCUUGGUUCCG